GUCUGGGCAGAUGAAAUUUGGCGGAUGAACAUCAGUACACCGCACAUUCUGCGCAGCUGAUUAUAUAGGUAUCAACUUACAGUGUUAUGCGCAGUAAUUGCGCUAUACUGAUGUUCAUAAAUGCGCAACCUUUCAAAGUUUAAACCUUAACGCUUAACCAAUUCAGACGUCGCAUAGUUUAUUUAAUCACACUUUAUAGCUGUUAAAACAUGGACUUUGGCGUUUUGUCAUUUAUCUAAUUAUUUGUAUGUUUUGUUUAUUUCUUUAUGCUUGUAUAUUAUUCUUUAUUUGUAGCCUACCCGGUGUUGAUUUGUUUGUAUUGUUUAUAGUAUAUAGUGAGAAAUGGUGAGAAGCAGGAUUAACCAAUCAGGAUCAGACAUUUUCCCUGCUUCUGUUUGAAAACUACUAGCCUGCUAGCUAGACUCUGAGUUAGCUGGCUAGCUUGUUGCUAAUAGAAGACGAACACGGAGGGGGCCAUUUUUCCCACUUUGUAGCUCUAAAGCAUGAAGAUCAAAAACGACAUCAUUCCGAACUCCAACUUCCCACUUCAGAGAGACAGCCUGAGACAAGCUCGAGAUGUACACUGAAGAUUAUACUGGAGAGGAGAGCCGGGAAUGGAGGAUACGCUAAACUGAGAGGGGACACGAAGAGAGAAAGAG